UUUUAUGAGAGUUUGAUCCUGGCUCAGGACGAACGCUGGCGGCGUGCCUAAUACAUGCAAGUCGAACGCUUCUUUUUCCACCGGAGCUUGCUCCACCGGAAAAAGAGGAGUGGCGAACGGGUGAGUAACACGUGGGUAACCUGCCCAUCAGAAGGGGAUAACACUUGGAAACAGGUGCUAAUACCGCAUAACAAUCAAAACCGCAUGGUUUUGAUUUGAAAGGCGCUUUCGGGUGUCGCUGAUGGAUGGACCCGCGGUGCAUUAGCUAGUUGGU
rnacentral:rRNA from 1 species